GUGCUCAAUUCAGCAGCACAUAUACUAAAAUUGGAACAAUGCAGAGAACAGUAGCAAUAGCCCCUGUGCAAGGAUGGCAUGAAAAUUCGUGAAGCAUUCCAUAUUAAA
rnacentral:snRNA from 1 species